CUGGCGGCAUGCCUUACACAUGCAAGUCGAACGGCAGCACGGGAGCAAUCCUGGUGGCGAGUGGCGAACGGGUGAGUAAUACAUCGGAACGUGCCCAAUCGUGGGGGAUAACGCAGCGAAAGCUGUGCUAAUACCGCAUACGAUCUACGGAUGAAAGCAGGGGAUCGCAAGACCUUGCGCGAAUGGAGCGGCCGAUGGCAGAUUAGGUANUUGGUGAGGUAAAGGCUCACCAAGCCUUCGAUCUGUAGCUGGUCUGAGAGGACGACCAGCCACACUGGGACUGAGACACGGCCCAGACUCCUACGGGAGGCAGCAGUGGGGAAUUUUGGACAAUGGGCGAAAGCCUGAUCCAGCCAUGCCGCGUGCAGGAUGAAGGCCUUCGGGUUGUAAACUGCUUUUGUACGGAACGAAAAGUCUCUUUCUAAUAAAGAGGGAUCAUGACGGUACCGUAAGAAUAAGCACCGGCUAACUACGUGCCAGCAGCCGCGGUAAUACGUAGGGUGCAAGCGUU
rnacentral:rRNA from 1 species